GACAGAGGUGCCGAGCGUUAGGCGGAAUCACUGGGCUUAAAGCGUGUGUAGGCGGGCGGGCAAGUACCUUGUGAAAUCCCACGGCUCAACCGUGGAACUGCUGGGUAUACUGCCUGUCUUGAGCCAGCUAGGGGCGAGCGGAACAGACGGUGGAGCGGUGAAAUGCGUAGAUAUCGUCUGGAACGCCGAAGGUGAAAACAGCUCGCUGGGGUUGUGCUGACGCUGAGACACGAAAGCCAGGGGAGCGAACGGG
rnacentral:rRNA from 1 species